rnacentral:rRNA from 1 species
AGAGUUUGAUCCUGGCUCAGAGCGAACGCUAGCGGCGGGCCUAACACAUGCAAGUCGAGCGCAUACCUUCGGGUAUGAGCGGCGGACGGGUGAGUAACACGUAGGUAAUCUACCCUUUGGUGGGGAAUAACCCGGGGAAACUCGGGCUAAUGCCGCACGAGGUCUACGGAUCAAAGCCUUCGGGCGCCAGAGGAUGAGCCUGCGUUGCAUUACCUAGUUGGCGGGGUAACGGCCCACCAAGGGGACGAUGCAUAGCUGGUCUGAGAGGAUGAUCAGCCACACUGGGACUGAGACACGGCCCAGACUCCUACGGGAGGCAGCAGUGGGGAAUAUUGCGCAAUGGGGGAAACCCUGACGCAGCUACGCCGCGUGGGUGAUGAAGGCCUUCGGGUUGUAAAGCCCUGUCGGGAGGGACGAAUACUGACGGUACCUCCCAAGAAAGCACCGGCUAACUCCGUG